AAGUCGUAACAAGGUUUCCGUAGGUGAACCUGCGGAAGGAUCAUUAACACGUUUUUUCCAACGUUUUUGACCCAUCUCAUUUUCUGUGCACAAUUCAUGCGUCCGGCCUCCCAGCCGCCCGUCGUGUUUACACGGCGUGGCCUGUUGGGCGUCUUUGGGAUCAAAGGAGUGAAGAGCGUGUCUUAUGACUUUUCAAGUUGUAUUCAAGUUCUUUUCGCCUCCCUCUGGCGUUGCCACCUCACCCAAACCCUUUAAUCUAAUCUAUCUGAACUUUUAGUUGAAGUUGAUCCUUCGGGAGAGACGACAACGACACAAAACAAACAACAACUCUUAACAACGGAUAUCUUGGUUCUC
rnacentral:misc_RNA from 1 species